rnacentral:snoRNA from 1 species
UCCUGUCCCUAGAGCCCUUGCAGGUGUGGCUAUGUCACAUGUACCGUCAGUAGGUGGCAGAGAGGAGCAAGCCUAUGUCUACACUCUGACCUGCAAACAUCUGAAUGAUUGAUUAGUAGUAGACUU